GGUUCUCUCACCACCAUCAGCAAAUGGAUGGCAAACUUAUUGAUGUCCUUAAAAUAGGGGCUCCCAUGAGUCAAGAACUUCAUAUGUGAUUCCAUGAAGCUUUGUGAACACCAGCUAUGCUUCACCACCAUUAAGCAGUACUACUGAGGAGAUCAACGGCCAAGAACUCCAAGAUUUUCAUGAUCAAGAGCCACCCUUUCCAGCAAGAAUGACCACCAAUGGCUUCAUGGAAGAAGUGGCAUUUGGAGAAUAGUAUGAUUUUGACAGGUAGAGCUGGGAGAGGAGGACACUUCUGAAUGAGGAAGCAGCAUGUUCAAAGACCCACGGGCCACUUGGUUGCACAGGCUGAACCAUAUUCACCUCUAGGAAGCCAUUCAGUAACAGUGUGGAAUUGGCCACAUGGCAGCCCUGCUGGAAAGCACAGGUGGGAUGCUGAUUCACAGAUCAAGACAUUUAAGCAGACACAGAUGGACUCCCAAGUAACCUUGGGAUCCACUUUCACAUUCCUCAUUGCCUCCAGGCCUAUAAUGAGAGCUACAUCCCAGUAUAUCCCAGAUGGGGA
rnacentral:lncRNA from 13 species